CCGGCGCACGGGUGAGUAACACGUAUCCAACCUGCCGUCUACUCUUGGACAGCCUUCUGAAAGGAAGAUUAAUACAAGAUGGCAUCAUGAGUUCACAUGUUCACAUGAUUAAAGGUAUUCCGGUAGGCGAUGGGGAUGCGUUCCAUUAGAUAGUAGGCGGGGUAACGGCCCACCUAGUCUUCGAUGGAUAGGGGUUCUGAGAGGAAGGUCCCCCACAUUGGAACUGAGACACGGUCCAA
rnacentral:rRNA from 1 species